rnacentral:tRNA from 1 species
GGAGAAGUACUCAAGUGGCUGAAGAGGACGGUUUGCUAAACCGUUAGGGUGGGCAACUGCCGCGAGGGUUCAAAUCCCUCCUUCUCCGCCA